CCAGUCGGCCGGACGGCCGCUCCGACCACCAAGGGUCGGGGAGGAAAGUCCGGGCUCCACGGAAGCACGGCGCCGGAUAACGUCCGGCGGGGGCGACCCCAGGGAAAGUGCCACAGAAAGCAGACCGCCCGCGGCCUUCGGGCGGCGGGUCAGGGUGAAAGGGUGCGGUAAGAGCGCACCGCGCUGCCGGCAACGGGAGCGGCACGGCAAACCCCGCCGGGAGCAAGACCGAAUAGGGGCGACCGGCGAGCCGCUUCGGCGGGCUCGCAAGAUCCGCUUCCGGAUCGUCGCCCGGGUUGGUCGCUAGAGGCGUCCGGCGACGGACGUCCCAGAGGAAUGGCCGUCACGUCUGUGUCGGGAAACCGGCGCGGGCCAUACAGAACCCGGCUUACAGGCCGACUGGCGCC
rnacentral:RNase_P_RNA from 1 species